rnacentral:rRNA from 1 species
UACGUAGGGUGCAAGCGUUGUCCGGAAUUAUUGGGCGUAAAGAGCUCGUAGGCGGUCUGUCGCGUCUGGUGUGAAAACUCAGGGCUUAACCCUGACGCUUGCAUCGGGUACGGGCAGACUAGAGUGCGGUAGGGGAGACUGGAAUUCCUGGUGUAGCGGUGAAAUGCGUAGAUAUCGUAAGGAAGACCAGUGGCGAAGGCGGGUCUCUGGACAGUUCCUGACGCUGAGGCACGAAGGUCAGGGGAGCAAACGGG